GAUGAACGCUGGCGGCGUGCCUAAUACAUGCAAGUCGAGCGAACGGACGAGAAGCUUGCUUCUCUGAUGUUAGCGGCGGACGGGUGAGUAACACGUGGAUAACCUACCUAUAAGACUGGGAUAACUUCGGGAAACCGGAGCUAAUACCGGAUAAUAUUUUGAACCGCAUGGUUCAACAGUGAAAGACGGUCUUGCUGUCACUUAUAGAUGGAUCCGCGCUGCAUUAGCUAGUUGGUAAGGUAACGGCUUACCAAGGCAACGAUGCAUAGCCGACCUGAGAGGGUGAUCGGCCACACUGGAACUGAGACACGGUCCAGACUCCUACGGGAGGCAGCAGUAGGGAAUCUUCCGCAAUGGGCGAAAGCCUGACGGAGCAACGCCGCGUGAGUGAUGAAGGUCUUCGGAUCGUAAAACUCUGUCAUUAGGGAAGAACAUAUGUGUAAGUAACUGUGCACAUCUUGACGGUACCUAAUCAGAAAGCCACGGCUAACUACGUG
rnacentral:rRNA from 1 species